CCUACGGGUGGCAGCAGUGAGGAAUAUUGGUCAAUGGACGAGAGUCUGAACCAGCCAAGUAGCGUGAAGGAUGACUGCCCUAUGGGUUGUAAACUUCUUUUAUAUGGGAAUAAAAUGUUCCACGUGUGGGAUUUUGUAUGUACCAUAUGAAUAAGGAUCGGCUAACUCCGUGCCAGCAGCCGCGGUAAUACGGAGGAUCCGAGCGUUAUCCGGAUUUAUUGGGUUUAAAGGGAGCGUAGGUGGAUUUUUAAGUCAGUUGUGAAAGUUUGCGGCUCAACCGUAAAAUUGCAGUUGAAACUGGCAGUCUUGAGUACAGUAGAGGUGGGCGGAAGUCGUGGUGUAGCGGUGAAAUGCUUAGAUAUCACGAAGAACUCCGAUUGCGAAGGCAGUUCACUGGACUGCAACUGACACUGAGGCUCGAAAGUGUGGGUAUCAAACAGGAUUAGAUACCCCAGUAGUC
rnacentral:rRNA from 1 species